rnacentral:lncRNA from 1 species
AGGUUUUGGUAUCAGGAUGAUGCUGGCCUCAUAAAAUGAGUUAAGGAGGAUUCCCUCUUUUUCUAUUGAUUGGAAUAAUUUCAGAAGACACCAGUGUUGCCCAAGAGUGGACCAGCAACAGUUUGAGGCAUAUUCCUCAGAUUGAACCAACCCCUCUGGGUUCAUGUCAGUUACCGGGUGUCAAGGUUGAAGCAUUCAAUCAAUGAGCGUCACAUCAUUAAUCCAUAUUUCAUCAUCUUCUCCUAAAGUCUAAUAUGCAGCCACUGUUAAGUGUUUUGCUUAUGUCAAAAUGCAGUUUUCAAGUGUUAUUACUCUUACUUCUUAAUUCUCUUAUCCUGCUUUAUUUUUCUCCCAGCAUUUUUUCCCUAUUAACACAUAUCUAGCCACUUUUUGCCUGCUUCACCACUAGAAUGCAUGCUUCUUGAAAGCCAGAAGUUUUGUUUUGUUUUACUCGGUUGCCAGUAUCUAGAUGAACUCCUGGCAUAUAGUACCUGGCUCAAUACAUUAUUUGUGAAUGUAAUGAAUGAAUUAAUGAACUUAAUAAACUUUUUAGAAAAAAAGUUAUUAAUUUAACAUAACUUGUUAUUUAAAAACAAUCUGUAUUGCUUCAGUGGAAUCCUAUAAACCUUUCAAAAAGCAGACAAUUAAUGUACUUGAUACUCCAGUCCAAAAUUUCCAGGGAACAAUAUAUUUACUAAUCUGAAGUUUAAAACCCCUUUAAAAUUAGGCCUAUUUUUUGGCUCUAGGUUUUGGCAUCUCUCUUAUUCCUCACAAAUUCCCAAAG